GAGGGUAAAGGGCUUAACUGCCCGCUUUGAGAGGAGCCUUACUCCUAUCAGCUUGUUGGUGGGGUAAAAGCCUACCAAGGCUAUGACGGGUAGCUGGUGUGAGAGCAUGUCCAGCCACAAUGGCACUGAGACACGGGCCAUACACCUACGGGUGGCAGCAACCGGGAAUCGUCGGCAAUGGGCGAAAGCCUGACCGCGCGACGCCGCGUGAAGGAUGAAGCCCCUUCGGGGUGUAAACUUCUUUUGUUUACCAACAUUGGUAUUCGAAUAAGCGCCUACUAACUACGUGCCAGCAGUCGCGGUAAUACGUAGGGCGCAAGCGUUAUCCGAAUUUACUGGGCGUAAAGGGUCGCGUAGGCGGUCUACCGCAUCUUACCUGAAUGGCGAGGCUUAACCUCGUCUGGUGGUAAGAGAUGGGCAGACUUGAGGUUCGGCGGGGUUUCUGGAACUUCCGGUGUAGCAGUGAAAUGCGUUGAUAUCGGAAGGAACACCGAGAGCGAAGGCAGGAAACCAGUCGACACCUGACGCUGAGGCACGACAGCUAGGGGAGCGAAGCAGAUUAGAGACCUGCGUAGUCCUAGCCGUAAACGCAUGAGUGCUAGUUGCCCGGCCGCAAGGCUGGGUGACGCAAGCUAACGCGUUAAGCACUCCGCCUGGGGAGUACGGUCGCAAGAUUAAAACUCAAAGGAAUUGGCGGGGACCCGCACAACCGGUGGAGCAUGUGGUUUAAUUCGAGACGAAGCGAAAGACCUCACCACGGUUUGACAUCUUAACGUUUAUCCUGAUGGAAACAUCGGGAAAUCCGCAAGGAUGUUAAGAAAGCUGCUGCAUGGCUGUCGUCAGCUCGUAUCGUGAGAUGUUCCCUUAAGUGGGGUAACGAGCGCAACCCCUGCCGUUUGUUAAAUACUCAAACGGGACGGUCCCGACGUUUGUCGGGAAGGAAGGUGGGGACGACGUCAAGUCAGCACGGCGCCUAUGCCGUGGGCCACACACAUCCUACAAUGGCGAAAAACAACGAGUCGCAAGAGGGUGACCUUAAGCAAAUCUCUGAAAUUUCGCCUCAGUUGGGAUUGGAGUCUGCAACUCGACUUCAUGAACACGGAAUCGGUAGUAAUC
rnacentral:rRNA from 1 species